GAGGUCGUUUAGCUCAGUUGGUUAGAGCGUGGUGCUAAUAACGCCAAGGUCGCGAGUUCGACCGUACGUUUCACCUCCCGGUACUCU